rnacentral:rRNA from 1 species
GAUGUCAUUUAUUCCUCAGAAAACAUAGCGAACAUUUAUUCAAUCCUGAGAUGGUCUAGAGGGAAGAGUGUCUGCAAGAAAAACACCAAAUUAAAAGAGAAUCCGACAUUGUAUUCAGUAAUAAAAAUAAUCUGUGUAUACAUUCGUAUGAACAGUAAUUUUACCUAUUUAUGGCAGAAAAUCAUCAACCUGGCAUCCUUACACUACUUUUUUGGGUUCGACGAUAGCCUGUUGUAAAUCAUUGCUGACAACUGUGGGAUUCACUACCAAGACAAUGUGCUUCCUAUUGCUUGAGCGAGCCCAACCAUACAAAACCAUGAGCAACCAAUGAACCUUUCUUGCAAAAACAGAUGAACCUUCCUAUGCUAAAAUAGAUCAAUUAAAAGCGUGAUAGUAAUAAGUCAACAUUUUUUAAUGUAAGGAAUCGAUUCAUCAAACCUCCUUCAGUCCUGCAAACAUCCGCCACAAAAUCACAACACUUACCUUUGAAGAGACCACUCAUAGCAGCAACCUCAUUAGAACCAAUCAAAUCUGCUUUUUGUGACCUAUGGAGAUAAAUUUCGCUCCAUGGAGGAUCAUAUCAAAGGGUAACAUAAUCUGAAGAAUCGUAUAAAUACCUAUCAGCAGUCCAGCUCCGAUCCUCUUGAAUGUUGUUCUGUCGCAUGGAAACAAUGUCGUAGAGCACAUUUGUUUUACUGAAUUGAAUCGCAUUGAGACCUACCAAAAAGGAACCAACUAAAUGAGAGAUGCACGUAGCCAUGAUGCAUAGAUCAUGAUAAUAAAGAAGGCCUAUGUCUGAUAAUAUCAGCUAUAUGCAUAAAUCAACAGUAGAUGUACACUUUUGCAGUUUUUCUUGACUGUAUUCUGUACAUCACCAAGCAUAGCACUCCACGCAGGGUCCCAAACAACCAACGCACAUGCCUGGGGCUGGCCACGCUCCUUGCACACAUCAACAACGUCUACAUAUGUCUUUAGCAAAGCUGCUGAUGAAACAUGCCCUUUUUAGAAAGACAACACUGCUUUGCACCACGAACAGAGGCAUCCUAACAUAGGAAGAUGCAAACUUGUAUAAAGACCUUGCUUUCUUCCCAAUAAACAACAAAAUGGGAAAACACCCAUCUAUAAAAACAGGUCUAUUAAAUCAAUAGAAAUUACUUGCUGAAAACCCCUAAAACAACUACACUCUAUGUUGUCAGAAUGUCAUCUAUCUGAAGCCAAAGAAUGAGCUGGACAGACCAUGGUAAACAAGGCAUGAAAUAAACACAACCCACUUUCUAAUAGCAAAAAACUAACUUUUUCACGGUUCAAAUUAGGAAAAUCAAAUCAAAUUGAAGCCAUAAUAAUCAACGGUAUCUCAUAAUCCUUUUUUUGCUGAAAAAUCCUAAAAGGACCAAAUCACGCAUCUGAAUUGAAUGGUAGGAUGAAUGGACUCACAAACUAAUACUGACCAGCAUCCCUUGUGCAGUGCGCAUAGCGACCGCCAUGUAUCCCCACGCACCGGAGUCAUUUACCUGUACAACAGCAACGCUAAAAAAGAACUACAGAAAUCACAAACCACCAAGCCGACAGAAGAAGAAGGACGACGGAAACGCAAACCAACCAUCAGACGCACCCCAGAACAUCCCUCGCAAGAAAUUGAUGCAGAGGAAGAAGAAACCGGCAACAGCAGACCCGCCGCCCACCCCUGGCGAAGAGGCAGGCAUCUGACCCCCUCCCUCCAAAGAGGCAGGCACCGAACACGGAGCCGAAGACCACCAAACACCCCGCUCACCAAACACACCACCGCCGCCAAGUCCAAAGGAUAAAAGGAAGGACGACGACCCUCGUAGCAGUAAAAGGAAAAACGCCACCUACACGCGGGCGCGUACACAAGCGCCACGAAUAUAUACAAGCCAACCGACAAAGCGAGACCAGCGAGCCAGCGAAUACACUUACAAAGAAAAUCCACCCUGCAGGCCACACCCCUCGCUCAACUAGGAGCCUCCCCGUCAAGGGAGCUUAGAGUUUUAAAAGAUAUUGGCCGAUCUACCGGCGCCUACUACUCGCCAAAAAGAAAAGGAUCGUACGCAGGGUCGCACAACCCCACGUGCCAGUGUAAACAAAGCCCAGCCGAUACAAUAGCCGAAUCUUUUUUUUUGAACAGGGGAAAGGCCCAGAAGGGCCUAGUGCUGUCUUUCGUUCAUCGUCGGUGGAGUACAAUACACAAACAGGAUCCCGAAAGAACUAGAAGUUACACAACAGUCCUGGAAAUUAACACAAAGGACCCUAAAAAGUAACAUCGAAAAGCAAUCAAGUCCUUCUCCACCACAACAACAGGGACUCCACCGCCGACCGUCCUCCUUCUCGCCGGGGACGAAACCACAUGGGAGAGGAAGGCCGCUGCGCGCCGCUGGGAAUCCCACAGAGGGCCUCCGUCUUGGAGGAGGUUGAGAUGACGCUCUCAAAGGCGUCUGGAAAGGCCGCCUUCUCAGCCAAAGGUCAUGGCGGCAGAUCGUGGCUGUCAUGUGGUGAUCUCCAACUCAUAUUCGACCACCCCUCUCCAUCUUCCGCCACCGCGACGACGAGAUCGCGGAGAGGCACCCAGAACCCAAGCUCCACCACAACAACCUUUUUAUUAUUGGAGGUUUCAGGUGCUCUCCUCCUCAUCACCUCUGGCUCCGUCCAUGGGAGCGCCGCAACAAGGAGCAGAGAGACAAAGCAAUACCAGAUCCGGGCCCCUAGACCUGGCAUCUCCCUCCCGACAUAGAGCCGAUGACCGGCAUGUAGCCAAAGACUAGCAUAUAGCCGAAGACAUGAACUAAACCUAGACCUAAUAUGUACAAGAAGAGCACGACCACCUACACCAUCCUCCUGCCGGCCACCAGGGCCGCCGGAAGGAAGGAAGGGAAGGGGCGGCAACGGGAAGAAGGGGACUCUCAACUCGGCAAAGGAGGAGAGGAGAGGAGAGAAUGGAUUAAAAAAACUACUUAAUGGAUAAAAAAACU